GCUGGGCGUGGUGGCCGGUGCCUGUAAUCCCAGCUUCUUGGGAGGCUGAGGCAGAAGAAUCACUUGAACCCAGGAGGCGGAGGUUGCAGUGAGCCAAGAUUGUGCCACUGCACUCCAGCCUGGGUGACAGAGUGAGACUCCGUCUCAA
rnacentral:SRP_RNA from 1 species